rnacentral:rRNA from 1 species
UACGUAGGGGGCUAGCGUUGUCCGGAAUCAUUGGGCGUAAAGCGCGUGUAGGCGGUCCGGUAAGUCCGCUGUGAAAGUCGGGGGCUCAACCCUCGGAUGCCGGUGGAUACUGUCGGGCUUGAGUACGGAAGAGGCGAGUGGAAUUCCUGGUGUAGCGGUGAAAUGCGCAGAUAUCGGGAAGAACACCCGUGGCGAAGGCGGCUGCUCUGGGACGGUACUGACGCUGAGACGCGAAAGCGUGGGGAGCGAACAGG